GACGAACGCUGGCGGCGUGCCUAAUACAUGCAAGUAGAACGCACAGUUUAUACCGUAGCUUGCUACACCAUAGACUGUGAGUUGCGAACGGGUGAGUAACGCGUAGGUAACCUGCCUGGUAGCGGGGGAUAACUAUUGGAAACGAUAGCUAAUACCGCAUAAUAUUGAUUAUUGCAUGAUAAUUGAUUGAAAGAUGCUAUUGCAUCACUACCAGAUGGACCUGCGUUGUAUUAGCUAGUAGGUGAGGUAACGGCUCACCUAGGCGACGAUACAUAGCCGACCUGGGAGGGUGAUCGGCCACACUGGGACUGGGACACGGCCCAGACUCCUACGGGAGGCAGCAGUAGGGAAUCUUCGGCAAUGGACGAAAGUCUGACCGAGCAACGCCGCGGGAGUGAAGAAGGGUUUCGGAUCGUAAAGCUCUGUUGUAAGAGAAGAACGGGUGUGAGGGUGGAAAGUUCACACUGUGACGGUAUCUUACCAGAAAGGGACGGCUAACUACGUG
rnacentral:rRNA from 1 species